GUGCACCAGGCGCGAAACUUCACACUGUGCGAAAGCACGAUGAGGGAAUCCCAAGUGCUUGCACGUAAGUGUAAGCUGUUUCUCUGUCUAAAACGCAGAGAGAGUAAGGGCUGGGUAAGACGGGUGCCAGCCGCCGCGGUAAUACCUGCAGCUCAAGUGGUGACCGUUAUUAUUGGGGCCUAAAACGUCCGUAGCCGGUUUAAUAAAUGCCUGGGUAAAUUGUGUAGCUUAACUAUACGAAUUCCGGGUAGACUGUUAAACUUGAGACCGGGAGAAGUUAGAGGUACUCCUGGGGUAGAGGUGAAAUUCUGUAAUCCUAGGGGGACCACCAGUGGCGAAGGCGUCUAACUAGAACGGGUCUGACGGUGAGGGACGAAGCCCCUGGGGCGCAAACGGGGAUUAGAUA
rnacentral:rRNA from 1 species